GACGAACGCUGGCGGCGUGCUUAACACAUGCAAGUCGAACGAUGAGAUCAGUGCUUGCGCUGGUUGAUUAGUGGCGAACGGGUGAGUAAUACGUGAGUAACCUGCCCCCUUCUUUGGGAUAAGCCUUGGAAACGGGGUCUAAUACCGGAUAUUCCUGUCUCAGCGCAUGUUGGGGUGGGGAAAGUUUUGUCGGUGGGGGAUGGGCUCGCGGCCUAUCAGCUUGUUGGUGGGGUGAUGGCCUACCAAGGCGUCGACGGGUAGCCGGCCUGAGAGGGUGACCGGCCACACUGGGACUGAGACACGGCCCAGACUCCUACGGGAGGCAGCAGUGGGGGAUAUUGCACAAUGGGCGCAAGCCUGAUGCAGCGACGCCGCGUGAGGGAUGACGGCUUUCGGGUUGUAAACCUCUUUCGUUACCGAACAAGGCUCUGCUUUUUGGUGGGGUUGAGGGUAGGUGGAUAAGAAGCGCCGGCUAACUACGUG
rnacentral:rRNA from 1 species